GUGAGUCAUCGAAUCUUUGAACGCACAUUGCGCCUCCUGGUAUUCCGUGAGGCACGUCCGUUUGAGCGUCAGCUUAAUCCCUCCAGGUGGUGGUUUUACGCCCCCGCCCGGGCCUUUGGCGCGGGGAAGUAGACGUGGCACUGUGGUGCCUCUAGUUUCCCCCGCUUAAAUGUGGAGAAAGCUAGCCGGUGACGCCCCAGCUGCAACGACUUGUAGAAUUUCUAGCGUCGUAGCACACUUGGAGCUCCCGGCCCCCAAAACGUAGGGACCCAGGUCCCCAGAUGUUUGACCUCAAAUCGGACGAGGAUACCCGCUGAACUUAAGCAUAUCAAUAAGCGGAGGA
rnacentral:misc_RNA from 1 species